rnacentral:rRNA from 1 species
CCUACGGGAGGCAGCAGUGGGGAAUAUUGGACAAUGGGCGCAAGCCUGGUCCAGCAAUGCCGCGUGAGUGAUGAAGGCCUUAGGGUCGUAAAGCUCUUUUACCAGGGAUGAUAAUGACAGUACCUGGAGAAUAAGCUCCGGCUAACUCCGUGCCAGCAGCCGCGGUAAUACGGAGGGAGCUAGCGUUGUUCGGAAUUACUGGGCGUAAAGCGUACGUAGGCGGUUAUUCAAGUCAGAGGUGAAAGCCCGGGGCUCAACCCCGGAACGGCCUUUGAAACUAGGUAGCUAGAAUCUUGGAGAGGUCAGUGGAAUUCCGAGUGUAGAGGUGAAAUUCGUAGAUAUUCGGAAGAACACCAGUGGCGAAGGCGACUGACUGGACAAGUAUUGACGCUGAGGUACGAAAGCGUGGGGAGCAAACAGGAUUAGAUACCCUGGUAGUCCACGCCGUAAACGAUGAUAACUAGCUGUCCGGGCACUUGGUGCCUGGGUGGCGCAGCUACGCAUAAGUUAUCCGUCCGUCGGGUAGGUACGGUCGGCGAAGAAUUAAAACGUUAAAAGUAAAGUUAGUACGGACGUGAGACGUGCCGAACGGACGACGACGAGGGAGGUAGG